rnacentral:sRNA from 1 species
GGGCGUGGUGGCUCACACCUGUAAUCCCAGCACUUUGGGAAGCCAAGGCAGGCAGAUCACCUGAGGUCAGGAGUUCAAGAGUAGCCUGGCCAACAUGGUGAAACCCCGUCUCUACUAAAAAUACAAAAAAUUAGCUGGACAUGGUGGUGGGCACCUGUAAUCUCAGCUACUCAGGAGGCUGAGGCAGGAGAAUUGCUUGAACCCAGGAGGCGGAGGUUGCAUUGAGCCAAGAUCACGCCACUGCACUCCAGCCUGAGUGACUGAGUGAAACUCUGUCUUAGAAAAAAAAAAAGUAGUCUAAUCCAACUUCUUAUUUUGCAGCUGAAAAAACUGAGGGUCAGCAAAUUUAAAUAAAAUCUGAAAUGAAAACUUAUGUUUCGUGACUCACAAUCCAAUGUGAUCUCUGCUAGGUAUUCUGAUUCUAUCUUUGCUUGACUGAUACAAGAUAAUGAUGAGAUGUAUAACAAUGUAUUAAUACUGAUACAUUGACAGACAAGCCAGGCUGAUUGUUGAAAUUUAAAUUUACAGUAAUAAAAUAUUAAUGCAGAGAUUUCCCUUUUCUUAAAGAUGAAUCCAAUAAAGAAACAGCUAACCUACAAGAAAGAAGUAUAAGCAAUGAUGAUGGUGAAGAAAAAAUAGUAACAAGUGUGCGUCGGAGAGGAAGAAAACCCAAACGUUCUCUCACUGUAUCAGAUGAUGCUGAAUCCUCAGAGCCAGAAAGAAAACGCCAGAAAUCAGUUUCUGAUCCAGUGGAGGACAAGAAAGAGCAGGAGUCUGAUGAGGAAGAGGAAGAAGAGGAAGAGGACGAGCCUUCAGGAGCCACCACAAGAUCCACCACCAGAUCAGAGGCUCAGAGGUCAAAGACACAGCUCUCCCCUUCUAUCAAGCGCAAGAGAGAAGUCAGCCCUCCUGGGGCCCGAACAAGAGGCCAGCAAAGGGUGGAGGAAGCCCCUGUGAAAAAAGCGAAGCGAUAAUCCUGACCACUGCUGCCCUAGGCUUAUGGAGGAACACGGUGGAGAGGAAAGAGACAUGCCUUGGUGGCCAUAGGCUUCUCUUUAACCAGGAAAAAGAUAUGCAUGUGCUGUAAGUCCCUAGGUGCAAGCUUUUUCUUGUUAUGUUUUAAACAGCUUUAUAAACUAUUGUUCAUAGAAGAUAUUAUGUACAUUUAUUUCAGAUAAAGGACAAUAAGUUUACUUUGU